AACGAACGCUGGCGGCAUGCCUAACACAUGCAAGUCGAACGAGACCUUCGGGUCUAGUGGCGCACGGGUGCGUAACGCGUGGGAACCUGCCCUUAGGUUCGGAAUAACUCCCCGAAAGGGGUGCUAAUACCGGAUAAUUUCUUCGGACCAAAGAUUUAUCGCCUUUGGAUGGGCCCGCGUUGGAUUAGCUAGUUGAUAGGGUAAAAGCCUACCAAGGCGACGAUCCAUAGCUGGUCUGAGAGGAUGAUCAGCCACACUGGGACUGAGACACGGCCCAGACUACUACGGGAGGCAGCAGUGGGGAAUAUUGGAAAAUGGGAGAAAGCCUGAUACAGCAAUGCCGCGUGAGUGAUGAAGGCCUUAGGGUUGUAAAGCUCUUUUACCCGGGAUGAUAAUGACAGUACCGGGAGAAUAAGCUCCGGCUAACUCCGUG
rnacentral:rRNA from 1 species